rnacentral:rRNA from 1 species
UACGUAGGGUGCAAGCGUUGUCCGGAAUUAUUGGGCGUAAAGAGCUCGUAGGCGGUUUGUCGCGUCUGCUGUGAAAACCCGAGGCUCAACCUCGGGCCUGCAGUGGGUACGGGCAGACUAGAGUGCGGUAGGGGAGACUGGAAUUCCUGGUGUAGCGGUGAAAUGCGCAGAUAUCAGGAGGAACACCGGUGGCGAAGGCGGGUCUCUGGGCCGUAACUGACGCUGAGGAGCGAAAGCGUGGGGAGCGAACAGG